UGGGGAAUAUUGGACAAUGGGGGCAACCCUGAUCCAGCAAUACCGCGUGUGUGAAGAAGGCCUUAGGGUUGUAAAGCACUUUAGGUUGGGAAGAAGGCAUGUAGUUUAAGAGAUGACAUGUUUGACUGUACCAACAGAAUAAGCACCGGCUAACUCUGUGCCAGCAGCCGCGGUAAUACAGAGGGUGCAAGCGUUAAUCGGAGUUACUGGGCGUAAAGGGCGCGUAGGUGGUUGUAUAAGUGAGAUGUGAAAUCCCUGGGCUUAACCUAGGAACUGCAUCUUAUACUGUAUAGCUAGAGUACGGUAGAGGGGGAUGGAAUUCCGCGUGUAGCAGUGAAAUGCGUAGAUAUUCGGAAGAACACCAGUGGCGAAGGCGACAUACUGGCUCAUUACUGACGCUGAGGCGCGAAAGCGUGGGGAGCAAACAGGAUUAGAUACCCAUGUAGUCCCUGAGCGGGCUGGCAAGGCG
rnacentral:rRNA from 1 species